rnacentral:rRNA from 1 species
ACAGAGGUCUCAAGCGUUGUUCGGAAUCACUGGGCGUAAAGGGUGCGUAGGUGGCGCAGUAAGUCAGAUGUGAAAGCCCGGGGCUCAACCUCGGAAUUGCAUCCGAUACUGCUGUGCUGGAGUACUGAAGAGGUGACUAGAAUUCUCGGUGUAGCAGUGAAAUGCGUAGAUAUCGCUUGGAACGCCAAAGGUGAAGACAGGUCGCUGGGGGUGUGCCGACGCUGAGACGCGAAAGCCAGGGGAGCAAACGGGA